ACAGGGGCAGAAGACAGGGAAAUGCAAUGGACUCCAUCGAAGUCCCACACUGCUAAUUGAUUAAGAAAGUUUCUUUCUCCUUGAUGAUAGUGCAAAUCUUCUACAAUAUCAGGCUCUGCCAGAAGCCAGUCAGAGCUGAUGCUUGGCCUGUGCGCUUGUGACAAGAGCAGAGACUGUGGGAAAAGUACUCCAAUCAUACCAGAGAAGAGGAGGCUUGGAGGAGACGUUAUUGCUCUCUACAGCUGCCUGAAAGGAGGCUGUGGCAAGAAAUACUGAUCACCUAUAAGUUUCUGUGAAGGAUGCAGCUCUGCAAGUGAUGGGGAAACAGCAUAUUCUCUGAAAGGAAGCCCACAGCAGAAAGAAAACGAACUGUUCUCUGCCAGAAAAUUGAACAGCAUGCAGAAAGCUCGUGCAAACAAGAAUUACUGCAAAUAUGGGGACAGAUGGGCUUGGAAACAUGUCCUUAAACUGUCAUCCAGAGGGAAAAAGAAAUAAACAAAAAAACCCAACAACCUUAACUUGGAGUGCAUGUGAUUGGGAAUGGGAGAUUAUCGGAGAUUUCAUGGCU